GAUGAACGCUGGCGGCGUGCCUAAUACAUGCAAGUCGAGCGAACAGACGAGGAGCUUGCUCCUCUGACGUUAGCGGCGGACGGGUGAUUAACACGUGGAUAACCUACCUAUAAGACUGGGAUAACUUCGGGAAACCGGAGCUAAUACCGGAUAAUAUAUUGAACCUCAUGGUUCAAUAGUGAAAGACGGUUUUGCUGUCACUUAUAGAUGGAUCCGCGCCGCAUUAGCUAGUUGGUAAGGUAACGGCUUACCAAGGCAACGAUGCGUAGCCGACCUGAGAGGGUGAUCGGCCACACUGGAACUGAGAGACGGUCCAGACUCCUACGGGAGGCAGCAGUAGGGAAUCUUCCGCAAUGGGCGAAAGCCUGACGGAGCAACGCCGCGUGAGUGAUGAAGGUCUUCGGAUCGUAAAACUCUGUUAUUAGGGAAGAACAAAUGUGUAAGUAACUAUGCACGUCUUGACGGUACCUAAUCAGAAAGCCACGGCUAACUACGUG
rnacentral:rRNA from 1 species